rnacentral:rRNA from 1 species
CCUACGGGAGGCAGCAGUGGGGAAUAUUGCACAAUGGGGGAAACUCUGAUGCAGCAACGUCGCGUGCGGGAUGAAGUAUCUCGGUAUGUUAAGCUCCAUCAGGAGGGGAUAGAAAAGAAGGUACCGGAAAUAGAAUCGCCUGCUAACUACGUGACAGCAGCCGCGGUAAUACGUAGGGGGCAAGCGUUAUCCGGAUUUACUGGGUGGAAAGGGAGCGUAGACGGACAUGGAAGUCAGCAGUGAAAGCCCACGGCUCAACCAUGGGACUGCUUUUGAAACUGUCGAACUAGAGUACGGGCAGGGUAAGAGGAAUUCAUAGUGUAGCGGUGAAAUGCGUAGAUAUUAGGAGGAACACCAGUGGCGAAGGCGUCUUUCUGGGCCGCAACUGACGUUGAGGCUCGAAAGCGUGGGGAGCAAACAGGAUUAGAUACCCCUGUAGUC